rnacentral:rRNA from 1 species
UGCUCAAGAAAAGGAUUUAAGUCCAGCCUAAAGUCUUCUUAGUUUAUCAAAACAUAACCUCGACUUUAGAGUAAUUCAAAUAAGGUACAGCCUAUUUGAAAAAGGAUACAACCUAGACUAAUGGGUAAUGAUUCAACUUUAUAACUAAGUGGGCCUAAAAGCAGCCACCUUUAAAACAGCGUCAAAGCUUCAUUAUAACACACACCUAAUACCAUAAAAAUUUGAUACCCCUUUAAUUCUAUUGAGUAAUUCUAUACUAUUAUAGAAAAUAUAAUGUUAAAACUAGUAACAAGAAGAAGACCUUCUCUUUAAUGCAAGUGUAAAUCAGAAAGGACCUCCCACUGAUAAUUAACCCCCAUGAAACUACAUUAGCAACCUCACAAGAAAAUCCUAAUAAAUUUUGAGUUAAUCUAACACAAGGGCAUUACAAGAAAGAUUUAAAGAAAAAGAAGGAACUCGGCAAACAUUAACCUCGCCUGUUUACCAAAAACAUCGCCUCUUGAAUAACUAUAAGAGGUCCAGCCUGCCCAGUGACUUUGUUCAACGGCCGCGGUAUCCUAACCGUGCGAAGGUAGCGUAAUCACUUGUCUUUUAAAUGGGGACUUGUAUGAAUGGCAUCACGAGGGUUAUACUGUCUCCUUUUUCUAAUCAGUGAAACUAAUCUUCCCGUGAAGAAGCGGGAAUAAACAUAUAAGACGAGAAGACCCUAUGGAGCUUUAAACUUAAUAACAAAUACUAACCUUACAUCAACCUUCAGAGUAUUAACCUUAAUUUUAGUAUUAUGAUUAUUAGUUUUAGGUUGGGGUGACCGCGGAGUAAAAAUUAACCUCCACAUUGAACGGGACCUGUCCCUGAGCCAAGAACUACAGCUCAAAGCACCAACAAAUUGACAUUAAUUGACCCAAUAUUUUGAUCAACGAACCAAGUUACCCUAGGGAUAACAGCGCAAUCCACUUCAAGAGCUCCUAUCGACAAGUGGGUUUACGACCUCGAUGUUGGAUCAGGGUAUCCCAGUGGUGCAGCCGCUACUAAAGGUUCGUUUGUUCAACGAUUAAAACCC